rnacentral:rRNA from 1 species
UACGAAGGGGGCUAGCGUUGCUCGGAAUUACUGGGCGUAAAGCGCACGUAGGCGGCUUCUAAGUCGGGGGUGAAAUCCUGGAGCUCAACUCCAGAACUGCCUUUGAUACUGGCAACCUAGAGACUGGAAGAGGUUAGUGGAAUUCCCGGUGUAGUGGUGAAAUGCGUAGAUAUCGGGAGGAACACCAGUGGCGAAGGCGACUACCUGGCCUGUUCUUGACGCUGAGGCGCGAAAAGCUAGGGGAGCAAACGGGG